UAUAGAGGACCUUCAGACCAGUCUUCACUUUUUGAUUUCAAAAUUUGUUUAGAAUCUUUUUUAUUAUUAUAGGAUCUAUCUAGCUCAGCUGGCCCCAAACUCCAUUCGACUUAUCAUCAGCUUUGCUUUGUUGUGCUACAUGAUUCCGAUCAAUCCCAGACCAUCUCUCUUUCAUACUUUCUUCGUUCUUCGCCCACACCCUAAGACCAAGGGUUGGUGGCUCUUUAGCCCGAGACAAAGUCUGCAUCUCGUAUCCGGCCUUCUUUCUUCCAUCCAUGGAUGGAAGAAUCAAUUCUUUUUUGUUUCUUCUUUAGCUUGGGGUUUUUCGUCUUCUUAGGAUACACCUAGAGUGGGCCCAAAUGAUAACA
rnacentral:lncRNA from 1 species